rnacentral:rRNA from 1 species
UACGUAGGGUGCGAGCGUUGUCCGGAAUUACUGGGCGUAAAGAGCUCGUAGGUGGUUUGUCGCGUUGUCCGUGAAAACUCACAACUCAAUUGUGGGCGUGCGGGCGAUACGGGCAGACUGGAGUACUGCAGGGGAGACUGGAAUUCCUGGUGUAGCGGUGGAAUGCGCAGAUAUCAGGAGGAACACCGGUGGCGAAGGCGGGUCUCUGGGCAGUAACUGACGCUGAGGCGCGAAAGCGUGGGGAGCAAACAGG